rnacentral:rRNA from 1 species
UGGGGAAUAUUGGACAAUGGGCGCAAGCCUGAUCCAGCCAUGCCGCGUGAGUGAUGAAGGCCCUAGGGUUGUAAAGCUCUUUCACCGGUGAAGAUAAGGACGGUAACCGGAGAAGAAGCCCCGGCUAACUUCGUGCCAGCAGCCGCGGUAAUACGAAGGGGGCUAGCGUUGUUCGGAUUUACUGGGCGUAAAGCGCACGUAGGCGGACUAUUAAGUCAGGGGUGAAAUCCCGGGGCUCAACCCCGGAACUGCCUUUGAUACUGGUAGUCUUGAGUGCGAGAGAGGUGAGUGGAAUUCCGAGUGUAGAGGUGAAAUUCGUAGAUAUUCGGAGGAACACCAGUGGCGAAGGCGGCUCACUGGCUCGAUACUGACGCUGAGGUGCGAAAGCGUGGGGAGCAAACAGG